UCUUCCACAUCCUGUGCUGUGUUUGUUUCUUUGACAUGCUAAAAACCUGCGGUGGCUAAAUUACGACAGCUUUCCAAAAAUGUCCUGACCACAUACCAGCCUUGGUCCAAAAUCUCUUUACUAACCCUAACCAAGAGCCUGCCAAGACUCGAGCAGAGGCGCUGUUUUGCUCCGCUGGAGGAAGUUGAGGAGCUGAGCGUUGUCAGGACUAGAACCAAGCAAUUGGGACUGGACCCAGCUGCGGUGAGACCCAAUGGCAUGCAAUGUAGCAACCCACCGGGCACGUGAAAGGAGGACCACAGGCUGUUGGAGGGAAGCAUUUGGAGGAGGCACCAGGAAGUCAGUCUGUGUGCACAUGGCUGGAACACAAGCUGUAGUUGCAGCUUCUCGGAAGAUAAAAUCCAGACAACACCUGACAUCUGGCAUCUGAAGGAAUCUGAAUGUGGAUCUACACCAGCCACCCAGCUCCAAGAACGUGAAAGGGGGGAAAAAUGAUUUUGGUGUUUGUGAGGCAAUGUACAGGUUGGGCCAUUGAUCUGACUGAAAUCCUGCUUCUUUAGGAGGUUCUUCAAUGGAUCCGUAAUUUAGGGAACGGGCUUUGAAAGCCCUUUUGUGUCACGCACAAGAGGGAGGACAGGGCUGAGAGGGUUCCCAGUGUCUUCUGCAGAGUACUGAGUGCAAUAGUUUCAAGCUAUUAAUGUAGCUCAUCUUCCCUCCCUCCAAAAAUGCACUGAGCCCCGUGGGGUCUUGAUGCCUGAGAGCGAAAGGCUGAUCACCCUGGCUAAAGGUGGUCGCUUCAUAGUCCCCGCCCCCGACACUCAAAGCUUGGUCCACCCUAGAGCUAGGUGGGAAAUUAAAAACAAAACGAAUCAAUGUCUUUGAAAAGCAUCACAACAUUAAUUAACACUGCCUGGAAGCUGCUCAAGAGCCGUUUGCAUCCGAAGACCUUUUAAGACAAUCUUGCACUGCAGGGUAUAAGCCAACCAUUAACUAAC